rnacentral:rRNA from 1 species
AGCCACAUGUAUAUAUAUUUGGUGUUUUCUGCCCAGUGAUAUUUAAACGGCCGCAGUACUUUGACUGUGCUAAGGUAGCAUAAUCAAUUGACUUUUAAUUGAAGUCUGGAAUGAAUGGAAAAAUGGGAAAAAUCUGUCUUAUUAAAAUUUUUAUUAAAUUAUUUUUAAGGUGAAAAUACCUUAUUAAAGAAAAAAGACGAGAAGACCCUUAGAGUUUUUUUGUUGGGGUGACAAAUAAGCAAACCUUAUUAAGUGAAAGAUAAAGCUACCUUAGGGAUAACAGCAUAAUUUAUAAUUAAGAUUGUGACCUCGAUGUUGGACUAGGAAUUUUAUAAUUAGAAAUUAAAAUAAAAAGUUCUGUUCGAACUUAUACUCCU